rnacentral:rRNA from 1 species
AUGAAGAUCCAUCUUACCUUGUCAAUGGGAAUGCUUGUGCUGGCCCUCGCGCCUGCGGCCAGUAGCAUCGACUUCACCAGCGCCGAGCUGUCGUCGGAGGAGUCCACACGGCAGCUCUACGAGCGCUGGUGCAAGAAGUACCCGGAUGGUCGGGGCUGCAAGGACGACGACAAGUCCGGGAGGCUGGACAUCUUCAGGUCACGAGCGCAGGAGAUCAACAUCAUGAACAUGGGUGUCAUCCACAACCGCCGGCGCCUGAACGAGUUCUCGGACAUAACCGAUGACGAGUUCAAGGAGACCUUCGGAUCCUGCUUCCUCAAAAGCAGAGAGGAGCUGCUAGAGCACGACGUCAUCACCGGCGACCAGUUCACCUUCGCCAACGACGACAUCCCCGACUACGUCGACUGGGCUUCUCGGGGCGCCGUGACACAAGUCAUGAACCAAGGUUCAUGCGGGGCCUGCUGGGCCUUCGCGGCGGCAGGGGCAGUGGAGGGUAUACACAUGAUAGAAAAUGGCAUCCUGAUGCAGUUAAGUGUGCAGGAACUUCUGGACUGCAGUAUCAGCAGGGGAUGCGAUGGGGGCAAUGCUGUGAAGGCAUUCAACCAUGUGAUUGAUGCCGACGGCAUCGCAAAGUGGGAGGACAACCCGUACGUGGCCACGAGGUUGAACUGCCACAAGGCCCAGAAGGUGGUCACCAUCGGCGGGUACAAGUUUGUCCCGCGAUUCAAUGAGACGGCACUUGAGCAGGCUGUGGCAUCACAGCCUGUAGUGGUGUCUGUUGAUACCACGGGGUGGGCUAAGCACUAUCGGGCAGGCAGAGUGUUUAGCGGGCCUUGUGGACAGAGGCCUGGACACCAAGCGCUCCUGGUAGGGUAUGGGACGGCGCAGGAGCAAGAUAUAGAUGGAAGCAACUAUACCAUAGAUUACUGGAAGAUCAAGAAUUCGUGGGGCAUCCACCGGGGGGAGAAGGGUUACUAUAGAUUGGAGCGUGGCUAUGAAGAAACCGGUGGGUUAUGCGGCAUCCUCCGCUUUGCGAUCAUCCAGAUCGAGGACUGGCCUAUCUGGGCCACACCAAGGCAGCUGCAGGAAGUGAUCUGGCGGGCUGAGUGGCUGACGGCGUUGCACGCGGCACCACCACCAUCAAGAGUAGCAUUGGCAGGCAUUAGUUUUCCAUUGAAGAUUUUAGCAACCUUAGUGUGCCCCGUCCAGCUAUUAUACAGUUUGAAGACUCUUCCAGUGGCUAUUAAGGAGCAGCUACUGCAGAACAGGUUAUAUGGUGGGUGUUUUGUGCUUGGCAGCCUGACAUGGGCCAUCAGGCGCCUCCCAGAGCGUCAUGGACAGCGCCAUGGCCGGCUGCGGCAACCGAGCCGACGCGGUCUGCAUCGUCUCGUGGCUCGACACCCCGGUGCCGGCGCCUGUGAUGUACAUCAGCUUCGGCAGCAUUUGUCUGGACCAUCCAGGAGGCCAAGCCAUUGGAUGAAAACAAGCGGUUCAGAUGGCAAGAAAAGACCAGCGGCUGACACUGCGUGCAAGGAUGUGAAAUCAAUGAAAAAGUUCUGCCGCCAAACAACUGUUCAUGCCAAGCACUACCGAGGAAGAUGCCACUGGUGA